AGUCCACAGUUCCUGCCCACCAGAUAGAGAAAUACUUGUGGUAAGAGACAAUGAAGAUAUGGCUACAAAAUUCUCAUGACUUAUUACAUACCUUCCUUUCAGGUGGCAUGAAUGGAGAUUUAUACUGCAGUUAUAUAAUCAAACUAUGUAAUUAUUAUAUAAUCAAACUAACCUCUAAAAAAAAAAACAGUUGUCUUUCACCUGCUCAAACAGAGAACAGGAAAUCAUUCUUAAUUAAUCUAUACAUCCUGCACAUUCCAUACAAAUGUCUUUAUAGAACUAUGUACUGCUGUAAGGUUUGUAUAUUGCAGAAUGAAAGACCAAGAGGGCAACCCUGACAGGAUUCAUCCUCGAGGAUACUGAGAUCCUGAGAUGCUGGGACCAGCUGCUCCAGCUCCCUGAUCCAUCCUGCCUCAACGGCAUCGAAGCUGUUUCCUCUAAAUUCUUGCUUCUGGGACAUUUUCAGAACAGCUAGGUCUCUCAUCCAGCCUUUAAGACUAUUAUAGACAGGACUUUGGCUGAGCCCUGAACUUUCUCAGCACGUAGAAACUGGACAACAAUUGAUGCCAGCUAGCUUCUUUUUUGAUGUAACCAUUUUUCUAAUUUCCUUUUGGGCCCCCGAAAGGAAUUCUUUGCCCCAAUUCAGCAGGAAUCAAUUAUAAGAAGACUGUCAUCCUUAAGUUGGGGUGGAUGGUUUUGGUCAUUUUAUGAGUUAUAGAUGUUUUGUUAUUUUAAAGAAUGAUUACAAAUAAUUACCGUCUUUGACAAGGAGGAAACAAAAUACAAAGCUUAGACUCAGGGAUUUCUAUCUCCCCUUUCCUCUGCUCUAUCCUUUCUUUCUUAGAUAAAGGGUAGAAGGUUGAGAAGAAAAGGGGAUAUAGAAAUAUUAUAAGAAAUUAGACUAAUAGAGGUAGAUUACUGAAUCUAACUCUUAAACCAAAAAAUAUUUUGUAGCAUAAUCUUACAUUGAUAGAGAUCUUUAUAUUUUGAUGUAAAUUGAGGUUAUGUUUUGUUACAUUGAUAUAGAAUUUUAUAUAUUGAUAAAGGUUUAAAGUUUUCAUUGGUAGAAAUCUUUGUAUAUUGAUACAAAACUUAAGAUUAAUUUUGUUACAGCAUGAUAUAUGUAUGUUUCAAAACUUAGAGAGGCAUUGUGGCUAUGCAACUCACUUAAAUACACAAGGUUUAGUUCAACUCCUUUGAUUAGCUGCUAUUAAAAACUGUUUAGGAUAAUU
rnacentral:lncRNA from 1 species